GCGCCGGUGGUGUAAGGCGGAUAUCGCUGCCCGGAAGGCAGAAGAUGUGGGUUCGAGUCCCGCCUGGCGCA
rnacentral:tRNA from 1 species